GAUUCUCAAAUUUUUCAAUGAAUCGAAGAAGUUCGGAUUGAGUAUCAAAGCGCAAAUAAGAGCCGCCUUUAUAGUUGAAAACGGGUGGAGGAGCAGCGGAAAAGGAGGCAAUUUGUUUGCCGGAACGAGAGUGUUUAGAGUGCUUGCUUGCCAUUAGUAUGAAGAAAUAGGGGCUGUUUCAAAAGUUUGAAGGCUUUGGAAGAUUGUUUGAAGCUAAGAGUGAAGUAUGAAGUG
rnacentral:lncRNA from 1 species